rnacentral:lncRNA from 1 species
AUAUUUUUAAUACAUUAAAUCAAACAUUUAUAAGUAACUAACACAAACAUUACUGAUAUAAGCAUAACUAAUUCACUAUAACAGUAUACCAAACGACACGACCCCUAAGAAUAUUAACUGUACUCUAAUUAAAAAUUCUGUCUUCUCUUUUCCAAUUGUGACAUUUUUGUGUCCAAUACCUUGAAGAACAUUAAUGGCCUGUGUUUAUCCUUCAAUCGCUCUUGUUUUGUUGGGGUGUCUUGAUUUUUGGCCUCUGCAGGAAUUUAGGAUCAGGCUCAUGUUUAUCAGCAGGUUCUCUCAUUGCCAAACAAAUAUAAAAUGCAAUAACCACAUUGACCGAUAUGACAGCAAUGAAUCCACUCACUAAUGUCAUAGAAUGGGAAGACAUGUUGGCCACACCAGGAAUUAAGUUAGAGGUUAAAGGCGUAUAAAAUUGCAAUUGGAGCUGCCCACAUAAUCAAAGAUGUAAUGAAGAACUUACUGACAACUCCCGCCAUAGUUGUUGUCAAGACAAACAAUCACCAGAAAAUAUAGCAAAGCAACUCUUUCUGAGAAUAUGACAAUUUUGAGAGUGAGCUAUCACAGAGAAAUCCUAAAAUUUGGUCCAAUUUGUUUGUUCAGUCCUUGUUUUCCUACACUUUCUCACGCAGGAAAUUGCACGUCAUAAUCCAAAUUAUGGAUAAUUUUAGAUAUUUGACCCCAAUAAGAAAUGUCUUUAAAGAAUAACCUUCCUUACAUUUUAAGUAUAAUACAAGUAUCAUUUUAUUCCUCUAC